rnacentral:rRNA from 1 species
GACGAACGCUGACGGUGUGCUUUAGACAUGCAAGUCGAACGAGAAAGCCCUUCGGGUUAGUAAAGUGGCGAACGGGUGAGUAACACGUGGGCAAUCUGCCCCUCGCAGGGGGACGAACCGGAGGAAACUCCGGCUAAUACCCCGUAAGUUCAAAGGGAGGCAUCUCUCUUCGAAGAAAGGUAGCUUCGGCCAUCCGGCGAGGGAUGAGCCCGCGGUGCAUUAGCUAGUUGGUGGGGUAACGGCCUACCAAGGCGACGAUGCAUAGCUGGUCUGAGAGGAUGAUCAGCCACACUGGGACUGAG